rnacentral:rRNA from 1 species
UAAGGGCGCACGGUGGAUGCCUUGGCACUAGAAGCCGAUGAAGGACGUUACUAACGACGAUAUGCUUUGGGGAGCUGUAAGUAAGCUUUGAUCCAGAGAUUUCCGAAUGGGGAAACCCAGCAUGAGUUAUGUCAUGUUAUCGAUAUGUGAAUACAUAGCAUAUCAGAAGGCACACCCGGAGAACUGAAACAUCUUAGUACCCGGAGGAAGAGAAAGAAAAUUCGAUUCCCUUAGUAGCGGCGAGCGAAACGGGAAGAGCCCAAACCAACAAGCUUGCUUGUUGGGGUUGUAGGACACUCUAUACGGAGUUACAAAGGACGACAUUAGACGAAUCAUCUGGAAAGAUGAAUCAAAGAAGGUAAUAAUCCUGUAGUCGAAAAUGUUGUCUCUCUUGAGUGGAUCCUGAGUACGACGGAGCACGUGAAAUUCCGUCGGAAUCUGGGAGGACCAUCUCCUAAGGCUAAAUACUCUCUAGUGACCGAUAGUGAACCAGUACCGUGAGGGAAAGGUGAAAAGCACCCCGGAAGGGGAGUGAAAUAGAACCUGAAACCGUGUGCUUACAAGUAGUCAGAGCCCGUUAAUGGGUGAUGGCGUGCCUUUUGUAGAAUGAACCGGCGAGUUACGAUUUGAUGCAAGGUUAAGCAGUAAAUGUGGAGCCGUAGCGAAAGCGAGUCUGAAUAGGGCGUUUAGUAUUUGGUCGUAGACCCGAAACCAGGUGAUCUACCCUUGGUCAGGUUGAAGUUCAGGUAACACUGAAUGGAGGACCGAACCGACUUACGUUGAAAAGUGAGCGGAUGAACUGAGGGUAGCGGAGAAAUUCCAAUCGAACCUGGAGAUAGCUGGUUCUCUCCGAAAUAGCUUUAGGGCUAGCCUCAAGUGAUGAUUAUUGGAGGUAGAGCACUGUUUGGACGAGGGGCCCCUCUCGGGUUACCGAAUUCAGACAAACUCCGAAUGCCAAUUAAUUUAACUUGGGAGUCAGAACAUGGGUGAUAAGGUCCGUGUUCGAAAGGGAAACAGCCCAGACCACCAGCUAAGGUCCCAAAAUAUAUGUUAAGUGGAAAAGGAUGUGGCGUUGCCCAGACAACUAGGAUGUUGGCUUAGAAGCAGCCAUCAUUUAAAGAGUGCGUAAUAGCUCACUAGUCGAGUGACACUGCGCCGAAAAUGUACCGGGGCUAAACAUAUUACCGAAGCUGUGGAUUGUCCUUUGGACAAUGGUAGGAGAGCGUUCUAAGGGCGUUGAAGCAUGAUCGUAAGGACAUGUGGAGCGCUUAGAAGUGAGAAUGCCGGUGUGAGUAGCGAAAGACGGGUGAGAAUCCCGUCCACCGAUUGACUAAGGUUUCCAGAGGAAGGCUCGUCCGCUCUGGGUUAGUCGGGUCCUAAGCUGAGGCCGACAGGCGUAGGCGAUGGAUAACAGGUUGAUAUUCCUGUACCACCUAUAAUCGUUUUAAUCGAUGGGGGGACGCAGUAGGAUAGGCGAAGCGUGCGAUUGGAUUGCACGUCUAAGCAGUAAGGCUGAGUAUUAGGCAAAUCCGGUACUCAUUAAGGCUGAGCUGUGAUGGGGAGAAGACAUUGUGUCUUCGAGUCGUUGAUUUCACACUGCCGAGAAAAGCCUCUAGAUAGAAAAUAGGUGCCCGUACCGCAAACCGACACAGGUAGUCAAGAUGAGAAUUCUAAGGUGAGCGAGCGAACUCUCGUUAAGGAACUCGGCAAAAUGACCCCGUAACUUCGGGAGAAGGGGUGCUCUUUAGGGUUAACGCCCAGAAGAGCCGCAGUGAAUAGGCCCAAGCGACUGUUUAUCAAAAACACAGGUCUCUGCUAAACCGUAAGGUGAUGUAUAGGGGCUGACGCCUGCCCGGUGCUGGAAGGUUAAGAGGAGUGGUUAGCUUCUGCGAAGCUACGAAUCGAAGCCCCAGUAAACGGCGGCCGUAACUAUAACGGUCCUAAGGUAGCGAAAUUCCUUGUCGGGUAAGUUCCGACCCGCACGAAAGGCGUAACGAUUUGGGCACUGUCUCAACGAGAGACUCGGUGAAAUCAUAGUACCUGUGAAGAUGCAGGUUACCCGCGACAGGACGGAAAGACCCCGUGGAGCUUUACUGUAGCCUGAUAUUGAAAUUCGGCACAGCUUGUACAGGAUAGGUAGGAGCCUUUGAAACGUGAGCGCUAGCUUACGUGGAGGCGCUGGUGGGAUACUACCCUAGCUGUGUUGGCUUUCUAACCCGCACCACUUAUCGUGGUGGGAGACAGUGUCAGGCGGGCAGUUUGACUGGGGCGGUCGCCUCCUAAAAGGUAACGGAGGCGCUCAAAGGUUCCCUCAGAAUGGUUGGAAAUCAUUCAUAGAGUGUAAAGGCAUAAGGGAGCUUGACUGCGAGACCUACAAGUCGAGCAGGGUCGAAAGACGGACUUAGUGAUCCGGUGGUUCCGCAUGGAAGGGCCAUCGCUCAACGGAUAAAAGCUACCCCGGGGAUAACAGGCUUAUCUCCCCCAAGAGUUCACAUCGACGGGGAGGUUUGGCACCUCGAUGUCGGCUCAUCGCAUCCUGGGGCUGUAGUCGGUCCCAAGGGUUGGGCUGUUCGCCCAUUAAAGCGGUACGCGAGCUGGGUUCAGAACGUCGUGAGACAGUUCGGUCCCUAUCCGUCGUGGGCGUAGGAAAUUUGAGAGGAGCUGUCCUUAGUACGAGAGGACCGGGAUGGACAUACCUCUGGUGUACCAGUUGUCGUGCCAACGGCAUAGCUGGGUAGCUAUGUGUGGACGGGAUAAGUGCUGAAAGCAUCUAAGCAUGAAGCCCCCCUC